ACGCUCGACACCUACGGGGGCAGCAGUGGGGAAUAUUGCACAAUGGAGGAAACUCUGAUGCAGCGACGCCGCGUGGAGGAAGAAGGUCUUCGGAUUGUAAACUCCUGUUGUUGAGGACGAUAAUGACGGUACUCAACAAGGAAGUGACGGCUAACUACGUGCCAGNCGCCGCGUAUNGNGGCGNGNGAGAGC
rnacentral:rRNA from 1 species